UCCAUCUAGCGGGGUGGUUCAUGUUUUUCCGUUUUCCCUCAGCACCUUGUUGUUUUGCAUGCCGGAAACUUUUAGGCAUAAACACACAGACACACAUAGAGGCGAAAAGCGUAACGCUAUCCUUGUUUCACGCAAAAAGCCCUUCUCACGUGGACAAAGUCACGCAGACUAGUAAACCAAGUAGGCCUCCCGUGAACAGGUGUAGCAGUAGCAGCAGCAGCAGCAGCAGCAUCAGGAUACACGCACCGUUCCUUUGGGCCACACCGUGCUGUCGCGAAACGAUUCCAACGAAAUGUGAAUGAGAGAGAGAGAGAGAUAGAGAGAGAGAGAGAGAGAGAGAGAGAGAGAGAGAGAGAGAGAGAGAGAGUGUCCUGUGACGACGAACCUCCAUUGGUGGUAGUGUGUGUACAGUACACUUUCCCGGCGCUCUAAAAAUUUCCAAAACCAAAGGGACGAAUAAAAAGGUAUUUGUGUUUUUUAUUCCUUUUCUCCAUCGAGAGCAGGGAACGCAAGGAAAAUCACCGGAAAAUGCCACCGAAGAGAGGGGGGGGGGUAGGUUUUUGGCCAUUCUUCAUCACUGCCGCCGUCGUCGUUGUUGUUGCAGGGGGGAAUGCGUUGGUUUUGGUGGUUGCCAUGGUGAUGAGCGUUUCGCGAAUCGCGCGCGCACAUUCGUGACGUUUUUGUGUGCGUUUUCCAGCUGUAGUAAACAGUGAAAAGUUCGUCCCUGUAUGUGUGUGUUUGUGUGUGCGCGCGUGUUUGGAGAAAUCGUACCGUGGAGCGCGGAGCAGGAUGUUUUGCCCCGGUGACUGUAACAAUCCAGGACGCCAUUUGCCAUGGCACCCACCCCAUCAUCCCCCUCACGGGAGCUGCGUCCAAAGUGAAGACUGAAAGAAUGAAAGAGAGAGAAAGCCAUCGCAUUUUUCCGGCAGAAUCAGCAGCAGCAGCAGCCAUCUUUUUGGCGUAGACCCGUGAACUGUCGUGGUGCAGAAAGCAGAGAGACUGGAGGGAUCCUAGACGGCUAUGCUGUUAGAACAGAGCGAGAGCGAGAGGGAGAGCUUCUGAGGGACGUUGCUGAAGAAGAAGCGGACCAGCGAAGUGCGUACCCGUGUGCUGCUAGAGAUGGCAAGAUGUCCGUGUGCGAUUAAACACGCACCACGGCGUUCGCGUACAGCCAGCAAUUUCCAACAGCGGCGUGACACCAUCGCCGACAACGGCCAACAUUGUGCUAGGAUGACACAUUCAGGAGCGGAGAUCGGUGGCCUUCAUCCUGGGACGGCUCUUCGGUGCUAUCAACACACACACACGCACACAUCGUUUCAAUGACAUUCCACACGGGAGCUCAGGAACGCACCGGAACGGGAAGAGUGGAGUGUACGGGAAUCGAGCAGCUGAAAUGCUGAAAUGGCUGACUUUAACUCGGUUUGAGUCCUUCUGUGUCGGAGCUGAUAAACAACGGUUCGCCGGUAGAGGGUUGUACAGUGGCUGUUUUUUAACCAAACUAUUCCACCACCCGGGACCACUGUGUGUGUGUGUGUGCGCGCGAUACGCCAAAACGAUGACGUUUCUCAACGUGCUCGUCUCCGCCGCCGGCAGUAGCAAAGCGCUCGGCGUACGCCUAUCGAAUCGACAAUGAAUUCCGUUCCAGGCCGGCCCCCGUUCGACCGUACCGGCGGCCGUCCCCGACGAACCCGUUCGCAUCAACCAUCAUCGCGGGGCUCGCGGACACGUAAUCCGUCUGUCGUUGAUCCUGUUCGACCGCGACCUUCCGCGUGCAGACUGCCCCACCCGCACCCCGAAGACACUCGCAAACCAUUUGGGUAAGUUACUUCAACACACACACACACACACUCACUACUGGCUGGAGGUUUGAUGGAAAACAAUGCGAUCCGUUCGCUGAUGCGGGACACUUCGAGCAGCAGCCGUCUUCUAACACACUUGCAAGCGGAUGUGUCGCAUUCGAUACGGUUGCACCCGUGAGUGAAGAGUAGAAGACAAGCGAAGGAAACCUGCUCGAAGGCUCACACAGCACCGUUUCUCGAGCCUACACCUUCGACGACGGUACGUGGCAAUGGGUUCGAUUUGACUUUUCUUUUUCCUCGUGGGCCCUCAGCAAACCCUCAGCAUGCCGUCGUCCUCCGGGUGAGCGAAACUUCCGAAAUCUUCCGGCCCACGGAACACGCAGCGUCUCCGGGAGGGGCAAUGGUCACGGUACAAGUGUAUGGUGUAUAUUUAUGCAUCGCAUCAAAAUCUGCAUAAUAUGUCGAGGGGCGUGUAACAUUGAAAAUCCAUCGCACCCGAGCAUUGGCGGGAUGGGGGUAAGCAUUUUUUUUUAUAAUGCAAAUAAGCGUUACAGUAACGCACGCGCUCGCGUGUUAUUAUCGACGUUGAGUGAAGAUGAUGGUUUCCUGCCGGAGCAAUUGUCGUCGGGCGCCCGUUCUCUGGAGCCAAUAUCCCAGACAAUAAGGUGCGCGAUAAGCGGCAAGGACGCUUCCAAAUUCGUUCCCAUCCCUGUGGAAAGGAGAAAAAAGCGAGCUGGAACUGGCUGAUUUGGUUUAUUUUAUUAUUUGUACGUACAAAUGUUUUUGUACCCCCGCACAUACAUGUAUAUUUUCAUUGAAAUGUAUUGGUGCUCGGUGCACGGAACC